CCCCACUGCUAUCGGGAUGGGACUAAGACAUGCUAGUCGAGCGUCUCCAAGCUAUGGAAGAGACGCGGCACACAGCUCAGUAACACGUGGCUAACCUGCCCUUGGGACAAGGACAACUCCGGGAAACUGGGGCUAAUCCCUGAUAAGUGAGAACUCCUGGAAUGGAUUCUCGCUCAAAGGACGUUUAGACCAUGCUUCUAGGCGUCGCCCAAGGAGGGGGCCGCGACCGAUCAGGUUGUUGGUGAGGUAACGGCUCACCAAGCCUUUAACCGGUACGGGCCGUGAGAGCGGAAGCCCGGAGAUGGGCACUGAGACAAGGGCCCAGGCCCUACGGGGCGCAGCAGUCGCGAAAACUCCGCAAUACACGAAAGUGUGACGGGGCCACCCCGAGUGCCAUCCGCUGAGGAUGGCUUUUCCCCAGUGUAUAAAGCUGGGGGAAUAAGGAGAGGGCAAGCCUGGUGUCAGCCGCCGCGGUAAUACCAGCUCUCCGAGUGGUGGGGAUGUUUAUUGGGCCUAAAGCAUUCGUAGCCUGCUUGGCAAGUCCUCCGUUAAAUCCAACGAUUCAAUCGUUGGGCUGCGGGGGAUACUGUCCGGCUAGGGGGCGGGAGAGGCCGACGGUAUCCUCGGGGUAGGGGUGAAAUCCUAUAAUCCCGGGAGGACCACCAGUGGCGAAGGCUGUCGGCUAGAACGCGCUCGACGGUGAGGGAUGAAAGCUGGGGGAGCGAACCGGAUUAGAUACCCGGGUAGUCCCAGCUGUAAACGAUGCAGGCUAGGUGUUGGCGCGGCUACGUGCCGCUCCAGUGCCGCAGGGAAGCCGUUAAGCCUGCCGCCUGGGAAGUACGGCCGCAAGGCUGAAACUUAAAGGAAUUGGCGGGGGAGCACCACAAGGUGUGAAGCUUGCGGUUU
rnacentral:rRNA from 1 species